rnacentral:rRNA from 1 species
GACAGAGGGGGCAAGCGUUGCUCGGAAUUACUGGGCGUAAAGGGCGCGUAGGCGGGAUGGCAAGUCGGUCAUGAAAUCCCUCGGCUCAACCGAGGAACGUCGAUCGAUACUGCUGUUCUUGAGGAUUGCAGAGGAGACUGGAAUUCUUGGUGUAGCAGUGAAAUGCGUAGAUAUCAAGAGGAACACCAGUGGCGAAGGCGAGUCCCUGGACAACUUCUGACGCUGAGGCACGAAAGCUAGGGGAGCAAACAGG